rnacentral:rRNA from 1 species
AUUGAACGCUGGCGGCAGGCCUAACACAUGCAAGUCGAACGGUAACAGGAAGAAGCUUGCCUCUUUGCUGACGAGUGGCGGACGGGUGAGUAAUGUCUGGGAAACUGCCUGAUGGAGGGGGAUAACUACUGGAAACGGUAGCUAAUACCGCAUAACGUCGCAAGCCCAAAGAGGGGGACCUUCGGGCCUCUUGCCAUCGGAUGUGCCCAGAUGGGAUUAGCUAGUAGGUGGGGUAACGGCUCACCUAGGCGACGAUCCCUAGCUGGUCUGAGAGGAUGACCAGCCACACUGGAACUGAGCCACGGACCAGACUCCUACGGGAGGCAGCAGUGGGGAAUAUUGCACAAUGGGCGCAAGCCUGAUGCAGCCAUGCCGCGUGUAUGAAGAAGGCCUUCGGGUUGUAAAGUACUUUCAGCGGGGAGGAAGGGAGUAAAGUUAAUACCUUUGCUCAUUGACGUUACCCGCAGAAGAAGCACCGGCUAACUCCGUG